CAUUUAGUAAGUUCAUUGUUGACGCUCAUUUGCAUGAAGGGAGCAGUGUGGGCCUUCCUAUGCAAAUUCACGAGUGGGCAGUCACUUUUUUUCCCACGGAAAAGUUCUGUUGUGAGCCGGACAUCCACAACUGGGGGCUUCUCUUCAUGGGAAACAUACAAAAACAGUCAAAGAGAAGGAUGUUUCUUAAUCUACAAUCAAAUGUUCAUCUGGAGGGGGGAGCAGCACACUGGGAUGUUCUGUUCCUGGAACAAAGCCACAGCGUUGAUCUCAGGUACUCCUGAGUGAGGAGCUGGUACAAGGGUGGAAAGUGUUCACUCAGUGAUCCAACCAGGAUGCCAGGCUCCAGUUCCUCUGGGACAGAAAACUGGAUGGAGCUGCAUACAAUCUGCUUGAGAUGGACCAUGAGAAGCAAAUUCUGAUUAAGAAAAAAAAAGAUAGUUAUAAAUAAAUAAAAUUCAGUUUCUCUUGAACGUCAGAAGUUUCGGGGGUGUUUUCUUACAUUCUGAUAGUGUUCAAACUUCAUGGCUCAGUGAAGGUUUUGAAAAGCAAACAACAGAAGAAUGACGGUAAUACGAUACCCUUACACUUAUCUUCAACUAAUUAUUCCCAUGUUCAAAUAUCAAAUGAUAAAAAAACACAUAUCAACAAUUGUUACAACACUUUUCAAACACGUCGAUGUUUUCUUAAAAUUGUUGCUUAAUAAUGCAUCAUUUUCUCCACCAUCCAUUAAAAAAAUCUUAUCUUAU